CGGAGCGGUUCCAGCCCAGCGCCGCCGAGGCGUUGCCCCAGGCCGGGCAGGGCGGGCGGCAGGCGGAGGCGUUGGCGGCGAGCGGGACCUCCAGGGCUCCGGCGAGGAGCGGCGCGGACCCGUUUCCCAGCAGAUACACUACUGAAGGAAUGAUGAAGGGUGGUGAUCAACACUAACACGUGUCACAAGUUAUAUACAGCCUGAUUAAAUGACUCCUUGUGGCCAACUGGUCUUAGUGUCUGAUGCAUGAACUAGAGCUCAUCCUGAACUCAUCAUCAUCUCUUUUUCAGCAGGAACAUACUGGAAGCUGCAGGAGUCAAGGCUGACAACACAGAGAUGGUGUAACUCUUCAAAAUGCAUCUUACAUGGUUCCACCUGGAGCAUCCUCCUCUCAGUAACAUCUGCUGCACUCCCAAAUGGAUCCCCAUGCGCAGAGUUUGCAUCCACCUAGGAGAACAUAAGACACUGGUGACUGGCAGAAUUCCUGCAGGCUCAAACACUGAAAAUUACUUCACAAGACGCGUAUGUGACAAUUUCUGCACUUGCUAUGUCAUGUUUCUAAAUACCAAAAAAAUCCCAAAACCAAACCAAACCAAACCAAACCAAACCAAACAACCAAACAAAAACCCCAAAACAAACAAAAUCAAACUUAACAAAAACCCCAACAAGUUAAACAAAAAAACCCCUAAUCCCACAAGACCAGAAAGAGACAGAAAUGGGGAAAAGAUCUUAUAGAUUUAUUUUUUUAACAAAAUCUUGCUUAAUUUUUAUAAAGCAGCAGA